rnacentral:lncRNA from 1 species
AUAUAUAUAUAUAUAUAGAUAUAGAUGCAUCUCUCUUUCUCUCUCACUCUCUCACCCUCACGCAACACUCCCUCCCCACUCUCCCACAUUAUUCUUCUCUUUCCCAUAAUCAACACUCCCUCCCCACUCUCCCACAUUAUUCUUCUCUUUCCCAUAAUUGAAGAUCACAUGCACCUAAAAGGCUAAUCUACUAGCCAACACAUUCCUACACACUUUAAGCUCACAAGCACAUGCACACCUCUCUCUCAUUUCCCUCCCUCUCUUCUUCUUCUUUAUUUUCGCAGCCCCUCCCCUCUUCACUUCACCUUACUUCUUUUUUGUUCCACCAAAUAUAGUAAGAACUAAGGUUUCUUAAAGUGUUCAUCUUCAAGCUCAAGCUCCAAGCAUACUACGCAUCAUCCUCUACUCC